UCACAGUCGUGCGAAAUCAACUGUGUGCUCACCAGGGUCGUGCUCAUAAAGACCGGUUUGACUCUAAACUCGCAGUGUACAACAUUCAAGAAUAAUUUUGAGCCAGCAAAAGCUGACAGAAGGCACGAUGGGACAUCGACAAUUGUGUUUGACUGCUUGGACCAUCGCAGUAGGUGUGAUCACAGGUGCUCUGUCAGGUUCAGAUUGCCAGUGUACUGGUAGUACCAGGCCUGCACAACUUUUCGGAAAUACGAAUAAAACUCACAUCGAUUUUCAUUUUCUCCCAAGCAACACCAGCGACACCACCUGUCAGUGGAUCAUCAGCUCUCAGACCAUUGCCAGACUGCAA